UUCCACAAGAAAGAUUGAUCUUUUGUUAGUAUUAUUGUUUGUUUUUUUAAGAAUACCCAAAAACCUCUUAAUACAAUUAAUUUUUAAUAUGUGAAUAAAGACAGUAUGUCAAAACAUUUAAAACUCCUUCAGCUACAGAAUUUAAAAGAACAGAUUUAUUUAUUUUUUUCUAUUUUCUGUGCGAAAUUUUUAAAUCCUCCCAAAAGUCCCAUUUUGGAAUUUCAAGGGAAUCUUGCCCAGAUCAGAACAGAAGCGCUUUACAGACAUCUACUGGUGAAAAAGAGGCUGUCUGGUUCGGUUUCAUUCCUAACACUUUCAUGUCAUGUAUGACAUGCUAUAAAUAUCACUGGCUCAAAAGCAAUUCAUAUUUUCAUUGAUAACUGGUAAAAUGUUUUCUUGUUAUAUAGUUCUUCCCUAGUUUCACAAUUCUAAACAGAAAAUACAAAAUGUUUUUAUUCAAACUUCAGAAGUUUUCUUCUUGUUCUCCUGAGGCAUUUACAACAAUUUGUGACAUCAACUCUUGAAAUGGCCCUGGAAGAAAACGAAGAGCUGAAGACUCAACUUGCGCAGAUCAAGCUUGAAUACGACAAGCAGUUUAUGGAAACGGGCAAGGAAAUUUUCAAAUUGUCUCACAAAACCAAGGCUCUGGAGCAAAAAGUGCAACAACUGACCGAAAAGCUGAAGAACAUAGAGAAGAAAAAGGAAAGGCAGCUGGACUCAGACAAGCCACGGAGUGAGAUGUCUCUCUUAAAAUGUUUCACCAUAGGCUUCGGCUUAGGCCUUGCAUGUGUUGUGGUACUCGAGACCGGUCUUGAUGUCGAGAUCGGUUUCAGGAGCUUUUUUUGAUGGACUCGGGCAUUGACCACUCAGGAUUGUAUUACAGCUGUGGAAAUAUCAAAAAAUUGCCAGCA